rnacentral:rRNA from 1 species
UACGUAGGUGGCAAGCGUUGUCCGGAAUUAUUGGGCGUAAAGCGCACGCAGGCGGUCCUUUAAGUCUGAUGUGAAAGCCCACGGCUCAACCGUGGAGGGUCAUUGGAAACUGGAGGACUUGAGUGCAGAAGAGAAGAGUGGAAUUCCACGUGUAGCGGUGAAAUGCGUAGAGAUGUGGAGGAACACCAGUGGCGAAGGCGACUCUUUGGUCUGUAACUGACGCUGAGGCGCGAAAGCGUGGGGAGCAAACAGG